GAUGAACGCUGGCGGCGUGCCUAACACAUGCAAGUCGAGCGAUCUUCUUCGGAAGAGAGCGGCGGACGGGUGAGUAACGCGUGGGUAACCUGCCUCAUACACAUGGAUAACAUACCGAAAGGUAUGCUAAUACAAGAUGAUAUAAGAGAUUCGCAUGGAUUUCUUAUCAAAGCUCCGGCGGUAUGAGAUGGACCCGCGUCUGAUUAGCUAGUUGGUAAGGUAACGGCUUACCAAGGCGACGAUCAGUAGCCGACCUGAGAGGGUGAUCGGCCACAUUGGAACUGAGACACGGUCCAAACUCCUACGGGAGGCAGCAGUGGGGAAUAUUGCACAAUGGGCGAAAGCCUGAUGCAGCAACGCCGCGUGAGCGAUGAAGGCCUUCGGGUCGUAAAGCUCUGUCCUCAAGGAAGAUAAUGACGGUACUUGAGGAGGAAGCCCCGGCUAACUACGUGCCAGCCGCCGCCGUAA
rnacentral:rRNA from 1 species